UUGCAUACGUGGUGUUGCGCGUUUUCUCUAGUGUCGCGCAAAUUAAAUGGGAAUUUGGUGUAACUCCAAAACUGUACCCGCAACUGUAAUGACCCAGCAGGUCGAAGUCAGAUACCAGCCAUAAUGCAGUGACUUAA
rnacentral:ncRNA from 1 species